rnacentral:lncRNA from 1 species
CAAGGGGGCGUGGAACUGCUGCAGCCCAUCUGUGACAGAGCAGACUCCUGCGAAUUUGCCCAGCUAGGUACAUCCUCUACAUGGUAGCAACUUGAAGAAAAUUCUUCCUUUUUGCUUCCAUGACCUGAUAUCCUCCUCGCUGAUGUAUCGAGGAGCCGUGACCCGGCCUCACAGGAAGGGCCAGGGCGAAGACAUAUCCCCGACGGCCAAGACACGGCCACGGUGGUGAUUUUUGAUGGUGAGACAGAGCAGACUCGAGCGACUUUGCCCAGCCAGGUACAUCCUUGUACACAACUACAUGGUAGCAAAUUGAACAAAAUGUGACUUGAUUAGUAUAGUAGCAAGAAAAAUUAUGUGUCCAGCAGGGAUGCACAUGGUUUCCAUUCAUAGCGACAAAUACUGAUUCCCUCUACCGCUUCAUUCCUCGUGUCUCUCAUUAUUCACCUUCUCCUCUUGCAAGAAAGAUAGUGUGUGCCUCUCCUUAAUCACCCUCUCCUCUUGCACAAAAGACAACACGUCAUCAUUCUCCCUGCUCCUCCACCCCCUCCAUCACAAUUCUCAAGGCUCUAGCAUUAUCGUUGUUUCAACGAUAACCUGGGAGAAGUAUCUGCGCUUUAAAAAAAUAACAUAAUCAAGUUUUCAUGAUAAUUGUUCCAUCCAAACCUAGAAUGUACUUUUACUUCUUUCUUGAUGAUACAAGAGUACUAUAGUUAUAUCUGAUCACUUCUACAAACACAUCUUUGUUAGAACCAGUAGCUUAGAACACACACGUUGGAUUUUUGUUGUAUCAGGUUCUUUUAGAUUUUACUCCCUCCAUUCCGAUAUACAAGUCUUUUUACAAAUUACAAUGACGACUAUAUAUGGAUGUAUAUAAACAUAUUUAAAAAUGUAGAUUCACUCAUUUUGCUCCGUAUGUAGUCUACAUUGAAAUAUCUAAAAAGACUUACGCUUAGGAACAGUGGUAAUAUACAUAACAUGGGACACAUCCGCGAUGGCCUCGUGUGACUUCGCCUGUGUGUAAACAUUAGACAAAUAAUAGAUUGCAACUGUAAUCUCAUGCGAGUUUUUUCACAGCAUUGAAGCCGUAUAAAGAUGGUAAGCCAUCUGAAAAAAUAGGCCAGAUCUGGAAAAAAUGCAGCAAGGAAACUGAACCAUUUAUAGGAGAACAGUAAGGAAACCGAACAAUAUAUUCAGGGACGAACACGAUGUACUGGUAUUUUUGAAAUAUAAGCUAGCUCCCAUGGCACCUUCGACAAAUAUGAUACAUGUUAUAUGCAUGUAUACGUAACAAAUAUGGAAGAACUAUUUUGUUAAUUCUCAUCCAUAAACUCACAAAAUUCCACUUUGACAAAAUAGCUGAUUGAAAAGGCGUAGAGCCUUUUCUUAAAUAUAUUGAUAAAAGCUCUAAUAAAUAAGGAAGAGGGAGAAAGCAAAAGCACAUAUUGGAGACCAGUGAAGAAAGUAAUGUUUCCCUGACUUGAUGUGCCACGCCAUUCAACGGCUGGCACACUUCAUGCACAGGUGCAAGUGUUCACCAUGUGGUGGUCCUUGCUCCUUCUAGAGUUUUAUUGCUCUUUCAAGGUAGCUCCGCACAAAUUACAUGAAAUUAUGUUGCCAAAAGAACUCUUUUUUGGUACAUUGCACAUCUAUCAGAGCAUCUUCUCAUAAGUCAUCUGAGUUAUCUCUUCCAAAAGUUAAAGAGCUAUAUGAAUUAAUCCGUCAGCAAUAUAAAAUUAUUAACCUAAGAUCAAGCAGGGCCACAUUUGUCUGGAAAAAUAAAAAGUCAAUAAUUAAUGCACAAAAAAUAAGGCCCGACAAUUUAAUAGAAUUUAUUUACAUUCAGGAAUAAAUUAGAAGGGCCGACCUACCGGAGUAUUAGUGCAAAGUUGUACGAUCAGAGCCCGAGCAUGUUUUUAGUAAAUACAGUAAUGUAAUAGGACCACUGAAAUAUUUGAGCAAUACAUGCACAUUGGUUAGUCUUGUAUCUGACAUGCAUACCAACAAAAAUCCCAGCUUUCCCACACAGUUAGCAAAUAUGAUUCUGUAGUCUCCACCUGAACAUUGGAGAUAGCAAGCACAAUUCUCAGUCUGUCACACAACAAUGAGUGAAAUCCCUCAAUAGAGAAAAAAAGAUUUUACUAUAUUUACAAUUGUUUAUGUCCGGUACCUCAUAACAUCUCAUUCCUAGUUAAUAAUUAAUAUUAAUGCAUAAAAGACUAAGGCCAGACAGUUUAAUAGUAUAACUUAUUUACAUUCAUGGCAUAAAUUAGAGGGGUCGACCUACUGGAGUAUUCAUGCAAAGUUGUACGAUCAGUGCCAGAGCAUGUGUUAUACUAAGUACAGUAAUGUAAUAGGCCCAGUGAAAUAUUUGAGCAAUACAUGCACAUUGGUUAGUGUUGUAUCUGACCUGCAUACCAACAAAAAUCCCAACUUCUCCCCAAAGUUACCAAAUAUGAUUAUGUAGUUUCCACCUAAACACUGGAGACAGCAAACACAACCGCCAGCCUGUCACACACCAAAGAGUGAAAUCCCACAAUAGAAAUAUAAGAUUUUACUAUAUUUACAAUAGUUUAUGUCCGGUGCAAGUACCAGGACGGACAUUAUGCCUUGAAAAGGGAAAUGUUACUAAAGCCAUUCAAUAUUGCUAUCUGCAAUACAUAGUGGAUAAUUGGAUAUGAUACUUGUGAGUUUAAACAUCAAUAUUCAUAUCAAAAUAGAAAUCAUAAGAAGAAACCAAAACAAACGAAAUACACAUGAUAGUCCAAUGUGUACCUUAAAAUUCACAAAAGAGGAGAAUGAAUAUCAAAAUAGAAAUCAUAAGAAGAAACCAAAACAAACAAAAUACACAUGAUAGUCCAAUGUGUACCUUAAAAUUCACAAAAGAGGAGAAUGAGUGGCUCCUACUGCCCCAUAGCAAAUUAUAAUUGUUAAACUUAUGUUACAAAAAUACAACAAAAGACGUAGAGCUUUCAUUCCAUUGAGGCUUUUUUUGGCAUAUCAAUACUGGAAAAAUAUAUAAAUUAAGUGGCCACUAAAAUAUCACCUUGAGAUGCCAGCAAAAGAAAAUGGCACAACAAGAUCUCCAUGAAUCGCCAUGAUCCACAGUAUGACUAAACAGAACCUGCAAGUAAUAUAAUAACCCCAAAAAUGUUACAGACCAUAAUCUUGAAUAGCAUGCGAAUAUGAAUUAAGCAUGUGAUGUGAUCUAAAAAGCACAAUAUUCAAGAAAAAGAAUAACUAAUUGUUCCCCUAAAAAUGUUGCUUUCUUAAAAUGUAAAAAUAGUCACUUUUGCAAAAGCCCAACUACCCACAGGUAAGUUGUACAUCAAACUACACUCGUAUUAGAAUAUAUUAAAAUAAGAAUAUUUCUAUCAUAGUGCUUUUAUCCAAUGCAUGUCAAAAGAAAUAUAGUAACUAAUGAUCAUGUUAUGAUUUUAUUUGCAGAAAAACAAACGUGAUGAUCCGUAUCAAUAAGAAUUGUAGCAUUAGCAUUAGCAAUGGCAAUGACAUCCUACCACCUUUGUUGAGAAAUGUUUUAGGUAUUUUGUACAGGACAAAAUUAGAAGCACGUACAUUUAAAGUUUCAGGCAUCAUAGACUUGGGGAAUGAAACAUCAGAAAUAAUAGUAGGUAAAUCUUCAGAUAUGACCUGCAAUUCACAAGCUACAAUUGUUGAGCAGAACCAGAAAAAAAUAAAGUCCGCCAAGGAACUACCAUAGCCAAUAGCCAAUUAUAGCUUCUCAACUUACAAAACACAAACGUGGUAGCACAAGACAUAGCAUGAGUUUAUUGUGAGAUAUGGAGCUAGGCUGCUCGACCUAUCCUAAACAGUUGGAGUACAUAUAAUUUGCCUAACCUGCAAGAUUUACCAAGAGCUGCUAACAAGAAAACAUAAUUGGGCUAAAUUUAUUCUUUUAUCAGAAAUACAGACAUGGAACCUCAUAACAUCUCGUUCCUAGGGAAAAGAAUUUGGAAAGCGGAAGAAAAGAGUGGCAAAUGAUUAGUAAGCCUAGCGACAUAUACUUCCCUUUUGUUAUUAUUUCCUAUCAAUAACGGGUCUACAAUACAUUGAAGAAACUGGUCGCCUCUUCCUAUAUGGGACAGGAAGAGCGCAAGGACAUCCUCAGGAGGUGUAGCCACCGCCGAUCUUGCUAGAGGAAGAGGCACGAACCGCAGGAGCGGAGGGAGUGAUGUCUGGAGGCGGAGUAGAUUCGUAUCGUCCCCGCCGCCGUCGAGCGGCACGCGCACCGACCCGGCCGCGCACCCGCCGCUGCCCAGCACCCACACGAACAUGGUCUCCGGCGCGAACGACGCUACCGACACGGCCAGUUCUAGCGCGCCCUCCCACGCCGCCGCAUGACGCGCCGUCGGGCCCUAGCACGGCCACCACCAACGCUCCCUGGCCCCCACCAGCAGCGCCCCCACGAGCGGAUGCAUCGAUCGGAGGAAGAACAAAUGCGAGAGGGGACAGAUAGCGAUGGCCUUAGUGGUCGCGAUGACGAUGGAGGUGGGGAGCAGAGGCAUCGGGAGAGGAAUAGAUCGGCGUGCGGAGGACGAAUUCGGGGCCUUGGGAUGGAAAGUGACGAAAAUUUAGGACACCGUGAUUUUCCAUUAAUUGAUUGAAUGACCGAUUACCAUCUACACCGUGAUUUUCCAUUAAUUGAUUGAUUGAUUAAAUUCCUUGGAUAAAACUCCGUGGGGGCAGAUGUCCGGGCUAGAAUUUUAUAAUUAUUUCCAUCAGUAGACAUUAUUUGAUUUGUCUAUAGAAAAUUGCAACCAAAUGUGAGGACAUUGACAAAUAUGAACCUUUCACAAACAUUGUUUUGGAAUCAUCUUUAUUUAUUUUCAAAAAAAUCUAAUAGUAUAAUCCCAAUUAGAUAUUUCAUACUAUAAGAUGUAAUGAAUAAACGUUGUGAAGAGCCAUUGUGAUUUACAUGAUAUAUAAUAUGAUAUCCUUUUUUCGAGAUUUAAAAUAUACUAAUUCCUUCUUCACAUGUUUUCAUUUUACAGGAACUCAUACCAAAAAGCAUAGGUAUAAAAUAUAAAUGUAGAAACACAUUUUUAUAUAAAAAGUUCCUAUUGUAUGACAACUAUUGCAGAUUCCAUGGCUAUCUUGAAAUGUAGAAUCCAAAAAAGUCAUGUCUUCAUAUUGUUGUUUCCUCUCUUUUCCCUUGGUUCCUCAAGUCUAGUGUGCAUGCCUCCUCUCAUUUUGUGUCACUUCUAUCUCAAUUGUUCUAUUUUGCAACCAUUUUUUUCCAUGUUCUGUCCAAAGAUACAUCUCUUGAUAUGCUUAAUUAAUGUAACAUCACCAUAAACCUCUUCCGUAAUGCGGUCCAUAACUUUAUGUCCAAAUAAUUUCCAUGUAAGAGAUGGCACUGAAUACAUAUGUAUUGUCAAUGAACUUAUAUUGUAGUCCAUCUCUGACGCCACAAUAAAUGAAAUAUAAUGGAGUAAUUAAGGAGGCACUGAAUAACAUGCAAUCUGUUAGUGUGUGUUGAGCAUUAACUUAGAACUCCAUGAGAUGACUCAUAUAUAAACUUUGUUCUUUACCAAGUAUCAAACAUCCCACAUCCUGACCUGUGUCACUUGACCGUCGCAAAUGCAAGGGCGGCGUAAUUUUUUUUGAACUACUAAUUGAUUGGAAAAUGAAUUGUGAUUUUGUAAAUGUUCUCAUUAUAUAUGGGUAGGAAAUAAUACAAUUGUACAACCACAAGUAAUAUUAUUAUAAUUUUCAAGAUGAACUUAUCAAUUAUGUCAUUCCUAUAAUUACUAUUUUAUUGACCAUGUGUAUCUAUGUCUGAUAGAAAUCAAAUUUAGAACAUAAGUGAGUUGAUAGUUCUCUAGCUUCUCUGUAUGAUCCACUUGAACAUAAGUUUCUAGAACAUCAUCUAUUUUGAAAAUGAAAGAAGUAUUAUAUCUAUAUGUUUUAUUUCAUUUAAUCCUUAAUACCCCAAGCCCCCUCUUCAAUGAAGUCGUUUUGAAAACAUAGGAUGCAUAAUUUUGGCAUCUUAAUCACAUUGGUUUUACUUUUUUACUGUAGGUACUGAUCAAUAAGAAAAACUAUUCCUCUCUCAUUUUUGUUACUCUAUCCAGGAGCACAUAAAAGAUAAUCAGCGUUUAUUCGCUAGCUGGAAUUAAAGGCAACGGCGAGAGAGCAAGAUCAAGGACAACUUCAAAAUUUAACAAUA